rnacentral:lncRNA from 1 species
GGAGCCUGAGAGCGCCCCCGCCAGAGCAGCGGCCAAGGCUGAGGAGAGAGCUGGGACUCGAGACCCUGCUCCACCCUGCUGGCUCUCGCUCGGCCCCAUUACCUGGCAAGCCCCGGCAUCCUUGACCCACGUCCGUGGCGCUGCCUGGGUAGGAACGCGCCUGAAGACCGCGCAGGACACUACCACUGGGCAUCCUGGGUUUGAUGCAGACAUCCUGCACUACAUUCCAGAUCUGAUGAGGCAUGGCUGCCCCAGGAUUACUGGGCUCGGACGGGAGCAGUGGUAGGAAGGAUCCUAUAUAAGUCAUGUGAGACAUAGAAUGUUCAGAUCAACUGAAGCUGAAACAAGCCUUUGGCAUCAUAUAUAACCCAGAAAGGGACAAAGCUGAUCCCAGAGGACUCAAGGCUAUGGGUGAUGUCGAAGGUGCGGAAGAAUCAAGUUGGAAAGACCAGCAGGAGACAGACAGAGUAAGGUUCCUUGAAUGCUUGGUUUAUGUGCCUGGCUGGAGGAGACACCCAUGGCCUUGCAGAGGGAGCGUUCUGGUGGGAAAGCAGACACAACCCACCCUAGGCCCGUGGUUUCCCUGCAAGAAGCCCAGUGGCUUUCUGGAGGACACUUUUCCUGGAGGAAGUGACUCAAGAGCAGCAUAAGCCAGGCUCUAUGGAAUGUUGGGUGAGCUGCUUGAGGAACUCCAAGGCCUGUCCCACAGUCUUCCAGCCUCCGACUCUCCGGCCCUCAGCGAGGAAGUCCCACUGGUUUUUUUGGUUGGUUUUUUUUUUUUUUUUUAAGGUUUUUUGGUUUUUUUUUUUUUUUCUCAUUCCUGUCUUGGGAGCUUUCCCCAACCAGGAGAGUGAAGAUGGGCGGAGCUGUCACACCAACUGUUAGCCUGCCUUGGCUGAGAGGAGAGGAGGCGAGGAGGGAGCGACCACCCAGCUUUAGUCGUUUUAAAACAGCUCCUGACCCUAGAAGAAGGGAAAUGGAGAUGAAGACCCAAUUGACUUGGCUUCCCUCCCUCCCAGUGCUGAUUUCCUGUGGACCAGAUUCCAGCACAGUGGAGGGCCAGAGCUCAGGGAACAGACCCAGCAGCACAGCAAGUCUCCAAGGAAAGCUCUAGCAGUCUCCAGGGGCUGAAGGCAGGACUGGGGAAGCGGCUAGCCAGGCUGCAGAAGGCAAAUGCUCCCAGACGGCUGUCCAGCACGCAUCCGCCUUCCUAGCCAAGUUUCCUGGGCUCCUGCCACAGAUCUAAGCCUCAUCCUGACAUCCUGCCCUCUGUGCUCUGGGAUGGCCCAGGGGAGAUGCUUAGCCUUGGCUCCUUGUCUGCUGGUGGAGGGGACACACACCCUUUCUGGACCACAGACCAAAAAGAAGACCUGACGUCAUCCUGAGCACCCCCGCCAUGCAGAGUGUGUUCGCAGACUGCCAACGGGCUGGCUCCGGCCAGCAGAAGUGAACAGAGGUGGAGGUUCAGCCUGACAGCUUCUCCCCAAAGCCAUGGAGAGAAAACCUUACCACCCCCACCGCCCAGCUACUUCCAGCAAGUUGUCCAGCCUGACCCCUCUAUUUCCCCUGUUGUCUCUUAUCUGGGUCCCUGAGACCCACCCCAUCUCCAAUAAAGAACAUUGCAUACUGUG